UACGUAGGAGACGAGCGUUGUCCGGAAUUACUGGGCGUAAAGCGCGUGUAGGCGGAUGGGCAAGUCUGCUGUGAAAGCUCCUGGCUUAACCGGGAGUGGUCGGUGGAAACUGCCAAUCUGGAGGACGGUAGAGGUAGGUAGAAUUCCCGGUGUAGUGGUGAAAUGCGUAGAGAUGUGGAGGAACACCAGUGGCGAAGGCGGCUCUUUGGCCUGUAACUGACGCUGAGGCGCGAAAGCGUGGGGAGCAAACAGG
rnacentral:rRNA from 1 species